GAGUGGCAAUCAGAGGAUGUAUUAUAGAGUUUUACAGGUCUUAC
rnacentral:tRNA from 1 species